AUAAAAGUUAGUUAUAAAUUAAAUUAGCUAGAUUACGUUAUAACUAUAUGUAAGUAUUUGAUUUGUCUACUGGUUCUCAAACUUAUUUUACCGAAUCGAACCGCCGAAUAAUAAAUUAAUAUUCUACAGAUUUCCAAAACAAGAAUAAUGGUUUAUAAUUUUUCAAGUAACAAUAAUUUUUAUCGAUUUAAUGAAGUUCACAAAAUGCCAAUUCAAAAUGAAUCAUUUAAUAUUGUUUCACGCUAGAUAUAAGUGCAGUAUAGUUUUAAAUACAAGUUUUAAGUAAAGUCUAUACAUUAUUAUAAAACAAUUACGGCAAAACCGUAAUAUUAUUAUUUGAAAUAAUAUAUUAUAAUAUAGUAUUGCUAUGUUUAUAUACAAUUAAAAAUAAUAUUAAGUACAAUACUGUGCCCCUCCCCCCAUUCCAUUUAAAUUGUUGUUUAAUGAUUUUCUUGGUCUUUUAUUUGCAAUGUUAAGAUAUUAUGGUUUAAUAAUUUAUUACCCAUUUUACUUAAACAGAUUACUCAAACUAUUACAAUAUUAUACAAAUGUAUGAACAAUAAAUAAUAUGAACAAUGAAUAAUUAUAAUUAUAAUUAUUAUUAUUAUUAUAAAUCAAUAUUUUUCAGAAUCAAAAAAAAAAAAAAACAUUUUAAUAAUACUAUUAUUUAAUCAAGCUUUUUUUUUAGGAUAACAAUUAUUAUAAGACAUACAUUAUUAUAAGUAUAAUUAUUUAUUUCAAGUUAUUAUCAAGUUAUUUACAUACUAUAUUAUUAUAACCAUAAUUAUUUAUUUAAAAUUAUUAUCAAGUUAUUCACAUACUAUAUUAUUAUAACCAUACGUAGUUUUAGUAAAAAUUUCUAUACGAUAAAUUGUCUAAAUGUUAAUUUAUAUUAUAAUAUGUUGAUUUUAAGAUUUUCCUCAAAUUACAUUAUAUAUCAUAUAACAUUAAUUAUUAUGACGAUAAUGUAUCUUAUAGAAUCUUAUAGAAAACAGUGGAUGGCUCCUCCUCAUAAAAGGAUUUAUCUAUUAUACCAAUAACAACAGUCAUUACACAAAAUCAACUUUUUUUUUUUGUAUUAUUUGUAAAAUUUUGAUUAAAUCCGUAUCAAUAAUACUAUAGAUAUUGAUCUAUCUAUCAAUACCUAUUCCGAAAUUUUAAUUUAAAAAAAAAUAUAAUAAUAAAAUAAACCGACAUACCGAAAUAAAAAAUUAUACUAUAAACUAUAGCAUAGGUGAUCUUCCCUUCGCCUAUUCUAUCGUUUUAUUUAGUAAAAUUUAAUAUUUUCGUCCAUAUAUUACAUACAUAUUCAAUUCAAUGCAUACAUUUACACAGUUGACAUUUCACCUAACUGAGAAGCAUAGAUAAUCUAAUAGAUUUGUUGUCCCCAGAUGUUUCGGCAAGAUUGUUGAAGAGCCCCCGCCUUCUCACUACAAAAUUUUUCGUAACUGGCUCUCAUUCUCCCUCUUUAUAAAACGAUGACCACCACUGUUAAUAAUUAUUAUUAUUAGAAAUAUUUCAUUAUUAUAUCACGAUAAGAUUUUAGUGUCUAUAAUAUAAAUGUAUGCGUGCAUUCGAAAAAAAAUUAUAUUAUUAUCAUAAUAGUUAUAUUUUAAAAAUGUAUAACAUUAAAUAUUAUCAUUACAAUUUAUUAUUACAAUUAUUUCUAUUAUUAUAUUAUAUAAUCUAUCAUAAUAAUUUUAUUAUUCAUUUUACUUAUACUCAAUGGUACAUUAAACGUUUAAGGACUAGCCUAAAAGACAUUAGAAGUUUAUAUAUAAAUAUUACCUAGAUUAUGUCGAUUUUAAGAUUUUUAAUAUAUUUAAAUUUAUUUAACUAAAACUAAACAACAUUAAAAAUAUAGCAGACUUUGUAAUUUAGUAGAUACUUAAGUAGAUAUUCUAUAUAAUAAUAAUAUUAUCUUAUUGAUGUUUAUUGUUACUAUCGUUAUUAGUCUCUAUAUGUGUGACGAUCCAGUUGUUCCUUUGUUUGUGAUAUCUCGUAAACGACUUUAAUUUUACCUAUAAAAAAAAUGAUAGAAGUAUUUUUUUUCUUAUGAUAAACCGACAACCAUUUUUUCAGUCAAUAUAAUUCCUAGCCUCAUUCAAUUAGCUGUAAAAGUACAUAUGAAUUAUUGUAAUUUUUUGUAAUGAAAACCUAUGUGUUUUAGCUUAAUUUUUCGACACGUUUUGAGUUUAGAUAUACAGUGUGAAUUGAAUACGCAGGCAAAUAAUUCUUAGUACCCUGUGCUAUUCAAUUUCUAAACUAUAAGUAUUGUGAAAGAUAAUAAAAAAUGUCAGGUAAAAAACGUCGGAAAAUGGAGUUGACAAUAGGUUGCCAUUAAAAAAAAAAAUGAUAUCUAUAAUGGUAACAAAUUUUAAUUUUUUUUCGGAAAAUGUAGUUUUAUAAUUUCUUACCACAAAGUUCUUCCAUCUUUUCACCUCGCGUAGUGACUUCCCAGCAGAUAAUAUUACGUCUGUUUCCUAAUUCCCUCGAAUCAUGCCAAAUUUUUACCAAAAAGUUGAUUUUAUCCUCAACGUGUAUUAUUCCUUCCUAAUUUCUUUACAAUCUGUCAAAGCACAAAAAUAUUAACUGAGAAAAAUGGUUGAUUCGAUUCACUACAUUUUUAUUUGGAAUUUUUAUUAAAAUAACUUAUAAUAUUUAUUAUGAACACUAAGUUCUUUGAAUUAGCAUAUUAAACAAUAAUUGUUUGUAGUAGUGUGUGCUUGGCGUUCCAAACGUUUAAAAAAAAAAAAAUUUGUUUAGAUUUAUUAACAGAUUUAAAACUCUUCCAAUACUUAUUAAUAUAUAUAAAAAUAAUAAUUUAAAACAUUCAACUACAACAAAACGAUUUUCUUUUUCUACAAAUUUCACUCGAAUAUAUACAACAACAUUAUAUAGCUAAUACAUUUUAUUCUGUUUCUGGUUUAACAUAACUAAAGUAUUACACGAAUGAUAAAUUAAUGAAUGGUUAUUAUUUUAUUUUUUUUUCAGAAAAUUACAUUAUAAUCAUUUAUUAAUUUGAACACUAUAAUAAUAUCAUACUCAUAUUAUAGUGAAAUUAAACUCAGUACAGCUAAAAUAAUAAUCUUACUGGUCCUAACUAUUUUUCAUGCAAACUCUUAUAAUAUAUUAUAAUUGAUAAAUAUUAUCUCUAUAUUAAUAAUGUUAUUUUAAAAACGGUGCCAAAUUUAAAUAAAUUAAGUUGUAAUAUUCAAUUUUUAUUAACAUAUUAGCUGAUGCAGAAUGGUUCAGAAAGCUGUGACUAAAUUUUUUUUUAUACCAGUGAGAUACUUUUUCGAUUUUAAAUUAGAAAAACCCUUUUCCUAAUAAGAUUAUUAGAUUAAAUAUCGCAAUUCAUUUUUCUUCAUUCUUAAGUAAUCAAGUCUUUCCUACCCUCCUCCCCUCGCCCAUCUUUCUCCCACUACUUAUACCGUUUCUAUUCAUUCCUAUCCUUGACUGACCCUUCCCCCCACCCCGUUCGUGGGGUCAGUCAGUGAGUCACGCUAACAUAUUUUUUAAUAUGAUUCUGAAUCAUUUUGUAACUGUACAAAAUUUUAGCUAUAGUAUAAUAUAACAUAGGUAGGUAUAAACAUUUUAUUAAUAUUAUUUUUUUUUUUUAUUUACCUUGGAAAUAUCUUUUGUUCUAAAUUUAAAAUUUUAGUUUCAUUUUUUACUUAAUUUUUUUUAAAUAAUUCUUUACCUUUUUUUAUUAUUAUAUAUUGUAUACGUUCGUUUUUGUUUAUUAUUAAUACUCAAUAGAUAUGACUAAAUUGGCGAUUUAUCUUUCUCACGUUAUUAAAAUAUUUAAACAUCGAAAAUUUGCAUUCAUUUCUACAGGGUGAUUACAAAAAAUGUUGAACAUUUUGAACAAAAUGAAACCUAUCGGUGACGUUUAUCAUAAUCUUAUAUUUUGUAUUGAGUUGUCCAAGAAAUUUUUUUUCACCAAAAUAAUAUAUACCUAGUCAUUUAUGAACUGUAAUGAAACAGUUAUUGGUUUAACCAUCAAUUUUAUGAACUUGACUAGCAUUGAAACAUCAACAAUGAAUCGAUAUAUUUUAAAUUAUACCUUGGUACCGUUAAUAUCAUAAUAAACACACGCACAAAACAAUGAUAUAUUUUAUUGAAAUGUAAACAUGUACAUCUAUUUGCAAAAGUAUUAAAAUCAAGUCUAAGUAUAUAAUUUAAAAUUCAAAUUUUAUUGUUUAUAUUGACAAAAAAAAACAUCCAUAAUACUAGGUAUAUUAUAAUGAUGCCCUGUAGAUCAUUUUAUCCGUGUUCAAAAUAAAGUAUCCGCAUUCAAAAUUAAAAUGAUUUUUAACUGUUACAAUUUUAAAUAUCUAAAAAAGUAUUAUUAAUUAUAAUUAUUUGCAUUCGUUAUUAGUACCUAAUAGAAUACACGUGUAUCGAUAGUCAUUAUAUUAAGUUGUUUAUGUUAUUUUUUUUUUUAAUGUUUUAUUAUGUAUACUUUAUACUUCAAAUGCUAUACCUAUGUAUGUUCUGUAUACUAUGUUUUUGCCUGAUAAUAAAUC